UCAGCAAGAGGCGGGUCAGGACGGGCAGGGGGCGGGUCAAGGCCGGCAGGGGUCGUGGUCUGGGCCAUUAGGAGGCGGGCCUGGAAGGCAGGGGGCGGAGUCUAGGACUGUAGGAGGAGGGGUCCUGGCCAUCAGGAGGCGCGGUUCAAGCCGGCAGGGGGCGGGGCCCCGAUCCACUGGAGGUGGGCAGGGCCUGGGCCGGCCUCCGCGUCACCAUGGCAGCGGGAACGCAGCUGCGACGCUAUAGCAGGAGGAGGCCGUGCUCAGAAGAGCUGGAGACUGAGCUGCUGAACCAGACGGAUCGAUGAUUUAAGAGGAGGCCCUGAUCCGGCUCUUCUAGGGACCUGAAGAUGGGGACCCAAGUGGUUAAGAGACUGUGUAAUUCCCUGCUGCCAGCAGAAUUCCCAACACCCUCUCAACAGCUGCAGGCAUAUGUGGCCUGGGUGAACGCACAGCUGAAGAAGAGGCCAGCGGUGAAGCCUGUGCAGGACUUGCGACAGGAUCUUCGGGAUGGGGUGAUCCUGGCAUAUCUCAUCGAAAUUGUUGCAGGAGAAAAGCUGAGUGGGGUACAGCUGAGUCCCAGUAACCAACAGGAGAUGAAGAAUAAUGUGGAGAAAGUGCUACAGUUUGUGGCCUCCAAAAAGAUUCGUAUGCACCAGACUUCGGCUAAAGAUAUUGUGGAAGGAAACCUGAAGUCUAUCAUGAGGCUGGUCCUUGCCUUGGCAGCUCAUUUCAAACCUGGCUCUAGCAGGACGGUGAGUCAAGGACGGGACUCCAGAGCCCCUCUGCAGAGUCACCAACCACACUGUGCCACUGCCGUGGCCCAGGGAGCAGCUGCUGCUCUGGCCGAUGUGUGUCAUGACGUGUCACGGUCGGGACGGGAUGUCUUUCGAUACAGACAGAGGAACAGCAGCAUGGAUGAGGAGAUUGAGAAUCCCUACUGGAGUGUGCGCGCCCUGGUGCAGCAGUAUGAAGGGCAGCAAAGGUCCCCAUCUGAGUCCAGCUGCUCCAGCCUGACUUCACCCAGUCCUAUCCGUAGUGCAAAGAGCGAAUCCAUUAUAACCCAGUCGGAGGAGAAGGCAGAUUUUGUGAUUAUUUCCUCUGAAGGAAUAGAGAACAGAACAGAGGAGACAGACUCUCCAUUAUCCCGAGACUGGCUACCAGGCAGCCCAGGAGCCUAUCUGGAGACUUCAUGGGAAGAACAGCUGUUGGAACAACAAGAACAUUUAGAAAAAGAAAUGGAGGAAGCCAAGAAAAUGAUAUCAGGAUUACAGGCGUUACUGCUCAAUGGAUCCUUACCUGAAGAUGAACAGGAGAGGCCCUUGGCCCUCUGUGAACCAGGAGUCAAUCCGGAGGAACAAUUGAUUAUAAUCCAAAGUCGUCUGGAUCAGAGUAUGGAGGAGAAUCAGGACCUAAAGAAGGAGUUGCUGAAAUGCAAACAAGAAGCCAGAAACUUACAGGGAAUAAAGGAUGCCUUGCAGCAGAGGUUGACUCAGCAGGACACAUCUGUUCUUCAGCUCAAACAAGAACUACUGAGGGCAAAUAUGGACAAAGAUGAGCUGCACAACCAGAAUGUGGAUCUGCAAAGGAAGCUAGAUGAGAGGAACCGGCUCUUGGGAGAAUAUAAAAAAGAGCUGGGGCAGAAGGAUCGCCUCCUUCAGCAGCACCAGGCCAAGUUGGAAGAAGCACUCCGGAAACUCUCUGAGGCCAGUUACCAGCAGGUGGACCUAGAGCGGGAGCUGGAACACAAAGAUGUCCUUUUGGCUCAGUGUAUGAAAAGAGAGGCAGAUGAGGUGACCAACUACAACAGUCACAACUCUCAAAGCAAUGGUUUCCUCCUUCCAGUGGCAGGAAAGGGAGCUGCUUCCAUCACUCACAGAGGGACCAGCGACCUGCAGCUUGUUCGAGAUGCCCUCCGCAGCCUGCGCAAUAGCUUCAGUGGCCAUGAUCCUCAGCACCACACCAUUGACAGCUUGGAGCAGGGCAUCUCUAGCCUCAUGGAGCGCCUGCAUGUCAUGGAGACCCAGAAGAAACAAGAAAGAAGGGUUCGGGGCAAGUCACCCAGAACUCAAGCAGGUAGUGAAUAUCGGGAGUCCUGGCCCCCUAAUUCAACAUGUUGGAAAUCUACUCUGCCUAAGUUGCCUCACUCACAGAGCUCUCCAGCUGUCAGCAGCGCCUGCACUAAAGUGCUCUAUUUCACUGACCGGUCCCUUACACCCUUCAUGGUCAAUAUACCAAAGAGGUUGGAGGAGGUGACACUGAAGGAUUUUAAAGCAGCUAUUGACCGGGAAGGGAAUCACCGGUAUCACUUCAAAGCGCUGGAUCCUGAGUUUGGCACUGUCAAAGAGGAGGUUUUCCAUGAUGAUGAUGCCAUCCCUGGAUGGGAAGGGAAAAUUGUAGCCUGGGUGGAAGAAGACCAUGGAGAAAAUUAAUGCUGAGUAUUAUAUUAGGGGCCUGUAGAACUUGGCACUCCUGGCUGCUUCACUCAGGAAAGAGAACUAAAACCAGAAAACACUAAGAAGUUUCUAGUUCGUGCUGCCAAAACAGAAACUUCUCCAAGUGUGACAGUCGCAGGCAAGUCUUCUUUCUUUGCCUGGCAUACGUGGUACUUAAAAUCCCUGUUCAAAUGUAGACCAUGGGUUCAUCUGGAGUUCCUUGUCCGUGGGAACGCAGUGUUUUAUUCUACUCUGAGGACAACAAACCGAAGGCCUUAACCAAUGGGAAUGGAUGAUCCCGCUCCUGUAGGGGCAUGGCUGCUAUUAUCUGGAACCUGGGAAUUGGAUGCAUCAGUCCUGUGUGUUACAGUAUUAUUUUAAUUGGCCUCAAUGGUUGCAGCAAUCAGAGUCCCAGCAUUUGUACUCACAGACAAGGCAAAGGUACCAGCUUUUUUGCUUCUUUGCAGCUAUUGCAAACCAAGAAUAAACUCAUGAGGUGGUACCAAAGAUGAAAGCCCACUCUUCAGGAAUCUUUUGGACUGGACAUGGAUGGUGCUGACUUGCUGAUUGGAUGGAAAAAGGGCUGCCCAUAUUGUGCUAUCCUAUGUUAAAACUGUAAUUAAGUAAGACCUUGGGCUGCCUCUUGUGUCUUAACUGCUUCUGCAACUUGUCCUUUAGCCCACAGAGGCAUAUUUCAUGUACUGCUAAUUUUUCUCUGGGGGCUCUUUAACUUUAGAGCCAUUUUUUUUCCUUCCAACUGAUGAACUUUGUGUUUGAAAGGAAUAAGGAGUCAAAGUCUGCUUAAAAAUCCAGGCGGGUAUGGAAAGGUGCUGCUACCCAUAUCUUCUUGACUUUCUUUCUCUCAUGACUUUCUUUAGCUCAUGGCAUCUCCUUCGCAGUCAAAAGGAGACAGAUGAUUAAGUUCAGUAUUUGUGAUUUAUGAGUACUGAGCAUGAGUUACUGGUCUGCCCCUCUUCAUUUCAAGGCCAGAGUUAUUUUCUGUUAUAUAUUUAGUCUAGGCUGAUCCUUUAGGGUACAAUAGAAACCAUGGGGCAUGGAGCAUGAGUUGUGAAUGGCAGGGUUGAUUCUAGGUGAAAAAACCUAGAAUCCUUUCUCAUGUGCAACAUUGUCAAGCGUAGAAGCUAAAAGAAAAGAGUUAAACUUCCUACUUAAUAACUUGGGUUUUCUCAUUCAUUCGCCAAGCACCAUCAACCAAUCAGCCAUUACUGUAUAUUUUCCCCAAAUUCUGCCUAUGACCACCGAUGUACACUGCCAACCAGAGGAGUCAGACAGAUCUGUUCUGGGUUCUUGACCUGUCUGUCUCUAGUUCAUCUCAGCCAUUUCAACAGUCUUUUUUCAACAGUCUACUCAUUGAAGCUCUGAGAUGACAUGUCAUUGUUUUAUAUAAAUGUGUCUUUUUAAAAUAGUUCAUGUUUGGAGAAUUCUUUUGUACUCAUUUGCUUGUUGUCUGAGAACCAUGUCUAUUUUUAUAACUUGAGUGUGAGUUCUGUAUAUUCUCACAUUCUGUAUACCGUAUCCAUUUUCUAGAGAACCCAGUAGCUUUUAUACAGGCUCUUCUCUUCUUACCAGCCCUUGUGGUUUCAGAACAAGCUUUAUUUUAUUACAAGUAUACUGAUGACAACUAACUCCUAUUCCAAUUCUACCUGCCAUUUUAGUUGUGGAGGUAGUUUUACGUAAUCUAUUUGAUUGCUCCUCUAGCAGACAGGAGGCGCUCAAAAGACACCUGAUGUCUUUCAUGUACGUUUACCUGGUCUUCUCCUACUGAAGAACGAUUUCUCAUCAGAAAUGACUGGAAAAGUUUGGGAAAGUCAAUCAAAAGCAAGAAUAAUUCAUUAUGAAAGCAAACAGAAGAAAACAAUAUAUUCUCAGUUUUUUCCCCAGGAAGUCUGGAGAAAAAAUCCUCAUGUCAACCAUUUCUCUGUUGCAUGAAUUUUAGUGUUUUGCUAUAAGACAGCAUGAGGGUUAUCAGACCAAAAUUCGUUAUCGUAUUUCCAGUACAAUUUAUCUUGAAUGUCUG